GACCCAACCGCCGCUAAUGGGGAAAGGGGGGGCGGGGGGGGAAGAGAGGGAAGGAGGGAGAGAGAGAGAGGGAAAUGUCACCCGGAGCCCGGGCCCGCGGGGGAGAGGUGGCGCGUUAGAGAUGUGUGUGGGAGAGAGGGAGCGAGAGAGAGGGAGAGAGAGGGGGAGCGAGACCUCCGCUGGCCCCGCGAACUUGUCAAGCAGAAGAGUGACCAAGUGGUCUUCUCCACAGCAGCCAUGAACUUCAACCUUGAACUGAAGAAGACUCAUCAAAUGCCUUAGGAAAGACAGUAUGGAGCUGGAAGAGAAGCAGAGAUCUUCAUGAUGGGCAGUCAUG
rnacentral:lncRNA from 1 species